rnacentral:rRNA from 1 species
GAAUCUGCCUGGUAGUGGGGGACUAUGUUUCGAAAGGAACGCUAAUACCGCAUACGUCCUACGGGAGAAAGCAGGGGACCUUCGGGCCUUGCGCUAUCUGAUCAGCCUAAGUCGGAUUAGCUUGUUGGUGAGGUAAUGGCUCACCAAGGCGACGAUCCGUAACUGGUCUGAGAGGAUGAUCAGUCACACUGGAACUGAGACACGGUCCAGACUCCUACGGGAGGCAGCAGUGGGGAAUAUUGGACAAUGGGCGAAAGCCUGAUCCAGCCAUGCCGCGUGUGUGAAGAAGGUCUUCGGAUUGUAAAGCACUUUAAGUUGGGAGGAAGGGCAUUAACCUAAUACGUUGGUGUCUUGACGUUACCGACAGAAUAAGCACCGGCUAACUCUGUGCCAGCAGCCCGCGGUAAUACAGAGGGUGCAAGCGUUAAUCGGGAAGUUACUGGGCGAAAGCGCCCCCCCCCGUGGUUCGUUAAGUUUGGAUGUGAAAUCCCCCCGGGCUCAACCUGGGAACUGCAUUCCAAACUGACCA